rnacentral:lncRNA from 1 species
CCAAAUGAUCCAUUGAAGCCUGGACUUUCAUUGCCCUGAGGGUGUCAUAGACGAUAUCAAAUUUAGUGAGCAGGAUCUGCCAUUUUGCUAAUCUUCUUGUGGGCAUUGGUUUCUGGAAUAUGUAUUUCAAAGAAUCCAACCUGGUUAUGAGGUAAGUGGUGUAGGCUUGCAGAUAAUACCUUAACUUCUUAGCGACCUAGGUCAAAGCACAACAAGUUCUUUCAAACAACGUAUACUUAGCUUCAUAACUGGUAAACUUUUUACUCAAAUAGUAGAUUGUCUGUUCUUUCUUUCUGGUCAGGUCAUGUUGCCGAGGACACAGCCAAAAGAAUUUUCCAAGACUGUCAGAUACAAGAACAGAGGCCUCCUUGGCUCAGGCGGGACCAAGACUGGUGGGUUAGAAGAUAUUCUUUGAUUUUAUCAAAAGCUUCCUGACAUUCAUCAGUCCAUUUG